rnacentral:rRNA from 1 species
GGCAGGUACAGCGGGAAGCCACCUGGCGACAGGGAGCGGAACCCGAAAGCCUGUCUCAGUUCGGAUUGGAGUCUGCAACCCGACUCCAUGAAGCUGGAUUCGCUAGUAAUCGCACAUCAGCCACGGCGCGGUGAAUACGUUCCCGGGCCUUGUACACACCGCCCGUCAAGCCAUGGAAGCCGGGGGUGCCUGAAGUGCGCUGCCGCAAGGAGCGCCCUAGGGUAAAACCGGUGACUGGGGCUAAGUCGUAACAAGGUAAC